rnacentral:rRNA from 1 species
GAUGAACGCUGGCGGCGUGCCUAAUACAUGCAAGUCGAGCGAACAGACGAGGAGCUUGCUCCUCUGACGUUAGCGGCGGACGGGUGAGUAACACGUGGAUAACCUACCUAUAAGACUGGGAUAACUUCGGGAAACCGGAGCUAAUACCGGAUAAUAUAUUGAACCGCAUGGUUCAAUAGUGAAAGACGGUUUUGCUGUCACUUAUAGAUGGAUCCGCGCCGCAUUAGCUAGUUGGUAAGGUAACGGCUUACCAAGGCAACGAUGCGUAGCCGACCUGAGAGGGUGAUCGGCCACACUGGAGCUGAGACACGGUCCAGACUCCUACGGGAGGCAGCAGUAGGGAAUCUUCCGCAAUGGGCGAAAGCCUGACGGAGCAACGCCGCGUGAGUGAUGAAAGUCUUCGGAUCGUAAAACUCUGUUAUUAGGGAAGAACAAAUGUGUAAGUAACUAUGCACGUCUUGACGGUACCUAAUCAGAAAGCCACGGCUAACUACGUG